UAGUCCGCACGAGCGCACCCUUAUCCUUAUUUGCCAGCACUUCGGGUGGGAACUUUAGGGANACUGCCGGUGAUAAACCGGAGGAAGGUGGGGACGACGUCAAGUCAUCAUGGCCCUUACGAGUAGGGCUACACACGUGCUACAAUGGGCAUUACANAGGGUUGCNAACCNGCGAGGUGGAGCUAAUCUCANAAAGGUGCUCGUAGUCCGGAUUGGAGUCUGCAACUCGACUCCNUGAANUCGGAAUCGCUAGUAAUCGCGGAUCAAAAUGCCGCGGUGAAUACGUUCCCGGGCCUUGNACACACCGCCCGU
rnacentral:rRNA from 1 species